GAUGAACGCUAGCUACAGGCUUAACACAUGCAAGUCGAGGGACCGGCGCACGGGUGAAUAACACGGAUCCAACCUGCCCGGUGCUCGAGGAUAGCCUUUCGAAAGAACGAUUAAUACCCGAUGUGAAGGGUGGGGAUGCGUUCCAUUAGGUGGUUGGUGAGGUAACGGCUCACCAAGCAUUCGAUGGAUAGGGGUUGUGAGAGGAAGGCCCCCCACAGUGGAACUGAGACACGGUCCAAACGCCUACGGGAGGCAGCAGUGAGGAAGAGUGGUCAAUGGGCGUUAGCCUGAACCAGCCAAGUAGCGUGAAGGAUGAAUGCUUAUGGGUCGUAAACUUCUUUUAUAUAAGAAGCUGUAUUAGAUGAAUAAGGAUCGGCUAACUCCGUGCCAGCAGCCGCGGUAAUUC
rnacentral:rRNA from 1 species